rnacentral:misc_RNA from 1 species
AACGCACAUUGCGCCCAUUAGUAUUCUAGUGGGCAUGCCUGUUCGAGCGUCAUUUCAACCCUUAAGCCCUCGUUGCUUAGCGUUGGGAGCCUACCGGGAAACUGCAGAGUUUUCUGGUAGCUCCUCGAAGACAGUGGCGGAGUCGGUCUCACACCCCAGACGUAGUAAACUUUUGUCUCGUCCGCGGUUGGGCCGGUCCCCUGCCGUAAAACCCCCCAAAUUUCUAAAGGUUGACCUCGGAUCAGGUAGGAAUACCCGCUGAACUUAA